GACAGAGGUCCCGAGCGUUAGGCGGAAUCACUGGGCUUAAAGCGUGUGUAGGCGGCCUUCUAAGUACCUUGUGAAAUCCCACGGCUCAACCGUGGAACUGCUUGGUAUACUGGUUGACUUGGGCCAUCUAGGGGCGAGCGGAACAAACGGUGGAGCGGUGAAAUGCGUAGAUAUCGUUUGGAACGCCAAUGGUGAAAACAGCUCGCUGGGGAUGUGCCGACGCUGGGACACGAAAGCCAGGGGAGCGAACGGG
rnacentral:rRNA from 1 species